GACGAACGCUGGCGGCGUGCUUAACACAUGCAAGUCGAGCGGUAAGGCCCUUCGGGGUACGACGAGCGGCGAACGGGUGAGUAACACGUGGGUGACCUGCCCUUAGCUCUGGGAUAAGCCUGGGAAACUGGGUCUAAUACCGGAUAUGACUCCAUGACGCAUGUUGUGGGGUGGAAAGCCUUGUGCGGCUAGGGAUGGGCCCGCGGCCUAUCAGCUUGUUGGUGGGGUGAUGGCCUACCAAGGCGA
rnacentral:rRNA from 1 species